GAUGAACGCUGGCGGCGUGCCUAAUACAUGCAAGUCGAGCGAACGGACGAGAAGCUUGCUUUUCUGAUGUUAGCGGCGGACGGGUGAGUAACACGUGGAUAACCUACCUAUAAGACUGGGAUAACUUCGGGAAACCGGAGCUAAUACCGGAUAAUAUUUUGAACCGCAUGGUUCAAAAGUGAAAGACGGUCUUGCUGUCACUUAUAGGUGGAUCCGCGCUGCAUUAGCUAGUUGGUAAGGUAACGGCUUACCAAGGCAACGAUGCAUAGCCGACCUGAGAGGGUGAUCGGCCACACUGGAACUGAGACACGGUCCAGACUCCUACGGGAGGCAGCAGUAGGGAAUCUUCCGCAAUGGGCGAAAGCCUGACGGAGCAACGCCGCGUGAGUGAUGAAGGUCUUCGGAUCGUAAAACUCUGUUAUUAGGGAAGAACAUAUGUGUAAGUAACUGUGCACAUCUUGACGGUACCUAACCAGAAAGCCACGGCUAACUACGUG
rnacentral:rRNA from 1 species